GACCCAAAGUUUUGCUUGUUUAAAUUUCACCACUCGCGUAACAGUUAUGAAUUUAAAUAAUGACAAUAAGUAUUUUUUUAAAGUAAUUUGCUGAGGAGAACCAAAAUAACAUAACAACAGGGAGCUAUAGGUAAGAUUCCCAGAUAUUUUACUACCGCCUCAGUCGUUAGUUGUCUAUUGCUUGGACCAAAAUAUCUACUAUUCCUAUCCGGAGAAGUGCACUGCCCAAGCUAUCCUUCUUCCGUUCUUAUCUUUAAUCCCUUAGGGGCCAAGCUUCCCUCGGCUGAUCUUUAUCUGCUCCCAAGUCCCAACAGUGUAGAAGUACACUAUAAAUACACCUCCCGUUGGAGCAUCUCUGCCAUCUCACCAUCAAGCUAGCCUCUCUCCAUUUCUUUCGGUUCCAUCCAUAGGGAAAGCUCUGCUUCUGCUCCUGGGAUUAGACAACAAUAUUCGUUCUUAGAAGAUAGAAGAAGGAAGCUGUGUGGAAAUAUUUUAAGGUGUUCUAGAGAGGGCGAUCAGAGAUCAAUUUUAGGAUCAAGUGGCGACGGCUGAAAAUCCAUAUGACGACAUAUAGCGUAGAAGUGGAGCGAGAUAUUAAUAGAAGAAAAUAUCACUAGUGUUGUAAUAAAUAAGUUGUACUUGUAAUAUUUGAUAAUGAAUAAAGUGGAGACUUGCUUGGCA